rnacentral:tRNA from 1 species
GGGUCGUUAGCUCAGUUGGUAGAGCAGUUGGCUUUUAACCAAUUGGUCGUAGGUUCAAAUCCCACACGACCCA